GUACACGCUGUGACUAGCAUAUCAAUAAGCGGAGGAAAAGAAACUAACAAGGAUUCCCCUAGUAACGGCGAGUGAAGCGGGAAGAGCUCAAAUUUGAAAUCUUAAAGGGUUUCCCUUUACGAAUUGUAGUUUAAAGAAGUGUUUUCUGUUGAGGUUUUGGUAAAAGUUCUUUGGAAUAGGACAUCAUAGAGGGUGAGAAUCCCGUAUUUGACCUUUACUUUCAACUUUGUGAUACACUUUCAAAGAGUCGGAUUGUUUGGGAAUGCAGUCCAAAAUGGGUGGUAAAUUUCAUCUAAAGCUAAAUAUUGGCGAGAGACCGAUAGCGAACAAGUACCGUGAGGGAAAGAUGAAAAGAACUCUGAAAAGAGAGUUAAACAGUACGUGAAAUUGUCAAAAGGGAAGCGUUUGACACCAGUGUUGUUUUUCUGAAAAUCAAUUAAAGAACUGUUUAUGCUAAGCUGUUUAGACUUUAUCAGCUAAUCUGUUUAGUUUUGAGCUUUUCUUUAAUGCACUUUUCAGUUACCAAGUCAACAUCAAUUUCUUUUGCUGUAAAAAAGCUUGAGGAAGGUGGCUUGAGAUUCGUCUUAAGUGUUUAUAGCCUCUUGCCUAUGCAGUCGGAGAGAUUGAGGUCUGCAGCGUAGAUCCUUCGGGGCUAAAUGCAUUUGUGCUAAGUUAUAGCAUUUUAUAGACAACUUGUUGACUAUGAUUUGUCUUGUAGCUUACUCGCUUAUGUUAUUUUACCUACGCUUAGGAUGUUGAAGUCAUCGUAUCGCGC
rnacentral:rRNA from 1 species